CAACUCAUACAUACCUUUACUUUUGUUAGAGUGUGAUAAUUAAAGUAAGAAACUGUUGCAUAAGGAAUUAAAAGACCUUUCAAAUCGUUGGGUUGAAAUAAUAUGAAUUAAGGUGUACCUUUAAACCAAAAUCGACGUCUCUGAGCUUUUUGCAAAAAAAACAUGCUGGAUAGUAUAAAAUUGUACUGUUUUCAAUGGGCUGUUCAAUCUGUUCAUUACUUUGGAUGCAUCGUAGAUUUAGUAAAUUUAAUUCAUGACGUACCGUUAAUGCCCUGAUCAUUUUGUGCUCUAAAUUGCAAUGUUUGCUAUACACACUAUACAUUUAUACUUCACAAUGAGCUUUUGUCUGAAGUGUGUAAUUAAAGCAAGUUUGCUAUUUUUAAUCAGAAAUUGAAUAUAUUCCAGGAAAUAA